GAUGAACGCUGGCGGCGUGCCUAAUACAUGCAAGUCGAGCGAAUGGAUUAAGAGCUUGCUCUUAUGAAGUUAGCGGCGGACGGGUGAGUAACACGUGGGUAACCUGCCCAUAAGACUGGGAUAACUCCGGGAAACCGGGGCUAAUACCGGAUAACAUUUUGAACCGCAUGGUUCGAAAUUGAAAGGCGGCUUCGGCUGUCACUUAUGGAUGGACCCGCGUCGCAUUAGCUAGUUGGUGAGGUAACGGCUCACCAAGGCAACGAUGCGUAGCCGGCCGGAGAGGGUGAUCGGCCACACUGGGACUGAGACACGGCCCAGACUCCUACGGGAGGCAGCAGUAGGGAAUCUUCCGCAAGGGACGAAAGUCUGACGGAGCAACGCCGCGUGAGUGAUGAAGGCUUUCGGGUCGUAAAACUCUGUUGUUAGGGAAGAACAAGUGCUAGUUGAAUAAGCUGACACCUUGACGGUACCUAACCAGAAAGCCACGGAUAACUACGUGCCAGCAGCCGCCGUAA
rnacentral:rRNA from 1 species